GAUGGGAUAGUGUUUAAGCACGUGUAAUUGUCGUUUACAAAGGUGUUCAUCUU
rnacentral:tRNA from 1 species